ensembl:lncRNA
CAAUAUUUGUGAUGUGAUGGUGUAAUUGGGAUGGUGUAUUUUGAAUCCAGUCCUUCAAUUAAUAGCUCAGAAGUUUCAUCUUUUGCCCACUGGCUCUUUCUCUGGCACCCUGUACCACUGAAAACUACAUGGCUUCAUUGACUUUGCUCCCUCCCCUCAGAUCUACAACACUGCCUCUUCAAGGACUGCAGAGAAGGAAGAGAAAAACUGAUCUUCCUAAUGACAAGGAUUUUUUUGAAAGUGUCAAGGAAGUGUCAAGGAUGUGUCAAGGGCCACAGCUUCGUGCCCCGGCUGCAGCCGGCCAUUGGGGUGGCCUGCGUCUGUGAAGGAUGGAGUGCCCAGGAAGACAACGUCAUCUACCGCCUGCUCGUGCCCAUGAGACCUCCCCCCGGGCAGACCUUCAAUGUGGAGCUUGGCAUAAGGCAGAUGGUUGUGUCAGCAUCAGGGAAGGGAGAUCUGGUACCUCAACAAGCAGGGAGAAAAUAUGAUCAAACAGCUUGUGGGUUGAGACAGGGACAGGGAGAUCUCUCACCAGCUACCAUCCCAGCUUUUGGAAGACGAAGUCAGUUUAUUGCCAGUUAAUGACAGGGUUGAACAGU